rnacentral:rRNA from 1 species
GAUGAACGCUGGCGGCGUGCUUAACACAUGCAAGUCGAGCGAGGCCCUCCUUCGGGAGGUGUCCUAGCGGCGAACGGGUGAGUAACACGUGAGCAACCUGCCCCCGGCUCUGGGAUAACUCCAAGAAAUUGGGGCUAAUACCGGAUAUGACCGCUGACCGCAUGGUCUGGUGGUGGAAAGAUUUAUCGGCUGGGGAUGGGCCCGCGGCCUAUCAGCUUGUUGGUGGGGUAGUGGCCUACCAAGGCGACGACGGGUAGCCGGCCUGAGAGGGUGACCGGCCACACUGGGACUGAGACACGGCCCAGACUCCUACGGGAGGCAGCAGUGGGGAAUAUUGCGCAAUGGGCGGAAGCCUGACGCAGCGACGCCGCGUGGGGGAUGACGGCCUUCGGGUUGUAAACCUCUUUCAGCAGGGACGAAGCCGCAAGGUGACGGUACCUGCAGAAGAAGCACCGGCCAACUACGUGCCAGCAGCCGCCGUAA